rfam:Calypte anna contig42212, whole genome shotgun sequence.
UCUGGCAGUGACAACACACUGAGCCCUCACUGAGCUCAGAGUUCCCUGAUGAGAGCAGCAAAAUGUGCUCAGUGGAUCCCAGCCAGC